rnacentral:hammerhead_ribozyme from 1 species
AUCUAGUUGACGAGUCCCAAGUAGGACGAAAUGCGCACCCUGGAU